UAAGAUAGGAUGGAUUUUAAAUAAAGUAAUC
rnacentral:piRNA from 1 species